AGAAUCAACGCUGGCGGCGUGCCUAACACAUGCAAGUCGAACGAGAAAGUGGAGCAAUCCAUGAGUAAAGUGGCGCACGGGUGAGUAACACGUGACUAACCUACCCUUGAGUGGGGAAUAACUUCGGGAAACCGAGGCUAAUACCGCAUAAUACCUACGGGUCAAAGGAGCAAUUCGCUUAAGGAGGGGUCGCGGCAGAUUAGUUAGUUGGCAGGGUAAUGGCCUACCAAGACGGUGAUCUGUAUCCGGCCUGAGAGGGCGCACGGACACACUGGAACUGAAACACGGUCCAGACUCCUACGGGAGGCAGCAGUGGGAAUUUUGCGCAAUGGGGGAAACCCUGACGCAGCAACGCCGCGUGGAGGAUGAAGUCCCUUGGGACGUAAACUCCUUUCGAUCGGGACGAUUAUGACGGUACCGGAAGAAGAAGCCCCGGCUAACUUCGUGCCAGCAGCCGC
rnacentral:rRNA from 1 species